UGAUACUUUUAUUGUAUCGAAUCACAUUUUCCUAGCCAUCGUGAAUGUCCAAUUUCUGGAGUACAACAGCAAGUAAGGAGGGCACCACAGCAGUUCAAAUUCUACACGCCAUCAAGUGUUUUUCAUAAAACAAAAUCACAUAUUUGGAUACCCAGUAUAUUUUACAGGUGCAGCAAAUACGUCCAUCGAUUGUUUGAAACCUGGAUAUCCUGGAAGAAGAACAACACUAAGCUGUACAAUAAGUGGCAGUGUACUAAGAGGAAUCAGAUGGUCGAGACCAAAUGGUGGAUCACCACAAGAUACAAUGAUGUGUAAUAAAUUACACACAAUGUGUCUUCCAAAUGGGAAUAUUGCUGGCUACGCUGCAGUUAUUACAUCACAAACGCAGAUUAUUCUCACCAUAGCAUCGUUCAACACUACAACAGAUGCCGGAGAGUGGAUUUGCAAAGAUGGAAGUAACCAUUUGAAAUCUACGUGUAACAAGACUGCAUUACGUGGCCCAGAUACAAGCAGUGUCAACUUCAAUUCUACUAUAAGUGUCGAAGAAGGACAACAUCUGACUGUGGACUGUACUGCUGAUUGUAACCCGCCAUGUGACUACUACUGGACACUGGGUGAUUAUCAACUCACAACAAGUCAUUGGUUAAAUCUGACAGAGAUCAACAGGAAUCUGGCCGGAAAUGUGUACAACUGUAGUGACCAACUCUGCUAUACCACAAACUAUAAGUAAAAACUUUACGCUCAGAGUGCCUUAUAAUGCAGAGCGCAUGACUGGCUUAAGUGCUGGUGCAAUAUCAGGAAUUGUGAUCGCUAUUUCACUGGUUGGUGCAAUGUCUGUGGGUUGGAUAGUUUACAAGAGGAAAAAUCAAAGGAAACAAAACGAAGACGAGCAGAACGAACGUACAACUAAACCACAGAACGUAGCCGACAGUCCUGGCUUCAUCCCUAACUAGUGCCAGAAUAUGGAACACAAAAAGACGUUAACCGGAGAACUCCAGUGUUUAUGUUUCGUAUAUCACUAAACAAGCUUAGACUUAGUUAAGAUGCUUUACGUUUUGGUUUGUUUUGCAUUGUUACAUAUUGUCAUACCUAUGUGCGGCCAGUAUUUAAUCUUUUGUCGUUUCUUUCAAUGAAAUUUAUAAUAUAAUAUAAUCGACGCAAUUUAGAAAUGCAGAAUUUCACUCUUUUACGUGUAUUUAUGAAAACAAAUAACCAUAGUUUGUUUCCUUAUUCCGGGAGCCAAGAGGUCGAACCAGGAUUUGUGAGGUAAAGUUGUUUGUCUUCAUUUCUUUAGUACUCGUACUUUUGUUUGUUAACAUUUAGUCAUACUACAGGUAGAGUACAGUCCAUUUUGAUGCCAGUUUAUAAGAAUUGGAUCGUUCCUUGUCACAGCAACAUAGCGUUUUUGUUAAAUAUCUAUACUUAAAUGGGAUAUGCAAUAAACACGUGAAAAGAUGUACAUAAAGAGUAGGAUGCAUAGUUAACAUGAAGCACGAAUAUACUGGUAACAUGAUUUCUAGCAACAUAACCCUUCCCCUGGUACCUCCUGAAAUUGUCAAGCUCAUUAGUCUGUGAUAACAAUUUUCUUACACAACGGUUGGUGAGAGCAUCAUGCGUUAUUUAUGAUAACAUAUACCUGUUUACACACGUACGUGUGUUAACAAUUUCAAGACAUACGACUGGCUGUUCCUAGGUGAUGACCAGGUCACCAAUGCAAUAUGUCCAAAAAAAAAAAAAACCGCAAAAAACCCCAGCGCGCUGGAAAACCAUUAUACUGUGACGUAUAGUUAACCUGACAAUCAUGUGUCUAUGACGCGUAAGUCCGGCAAAAGCUGGUUUUAGAAGAUAUGUAAGAAAUAGAAUAAUAUACUCAACAACGAAAGUUUAGCUAAUGUUAAAAUAAAUGGCAUAAC